UGACUGUAGCAAUACAGUUGAUGGCGACCGGCAAACGGGUGCGGAACACGUACACAACCUUCCUUUAAGUGGGGAAUAGCCCAGAGAAAUUUGGAUUAAUACCCCGUAACAUUAUGAUGUGGCAUCACAUUAUAAUUAAAGCUCAGGCGCUUAAUGAUGGGUGUGCGGCUGAUUAGAUAGUUGGCGGGGUAACGGCCCACCAAGUCUACGAUCAGUAACUGGUGUGAGAGCACGACCAGUCACACGGGCACUGAGACACGGGCCCGACUCCUACGGGAGGCAGCAGUAAGGAAUAUUGGUCAAUGGACGCAAGUCUGAACCAGCCAUGCCGCGUGGAGGAUGAAGGCCCUCUGGGUUGUAAACUUCUUUAUAUGGGACGAAAAAGGGUCUUUCUAGAUCAACUGACGGUACCAUUUGAAUAAGCACCGGCUAACUCCGUGCCAGCAGCCGCGGUAAUACGGAGGGUGCAAGCGUUAUCCGGAUUCACUGGGUUUAAAGGGUGCGUAGGUGGGUUGGUAAGUCAGUGGUGAAAUCUCCGAGCUUAACUUGGAAACUGCCAUUGAUACUAUUAAUCUUGAAUAUUGUGGAGGUCAGCGGAAUAUGUCAUGUAGCGGUGAAAUGCUUAGAGAUGACAUAGAACACC
rnacentral:rRNA from 1 species